ensembl:snRNA RNU6-1316P RNA, U6 small nuclear 1316, pseudogene
GUGCUGGCUUUGGCAGCACAUAUACUAAAAUUGGAAUGAUACAGAGAAGAUUAGCAUGGCCCCUGCACAAGGAUGACAUGCAAAUUCAUGAAGCAGUUCCGUAUUUUU